rnacentral:misc_RNA from 1 species
GAAAUGCGAUAAGUAAUGUGAAUUGCAGAAUUCCGUGAAUCAUCGAAUCUUUGAACGCACAUUGCGCCCUCUGGCAUUCCGGGGGGCAUGCCUGUCCGAGCGUCAUUACGCACCCUCAAGCCCGGCUUGUGUGAUGGGCCCCGGCGUCUCGUUCGCGAGACGGGCCCGAAAGGCAGCGGCGGCGUCGACCCGAUGAGCCCGAGCGUAUGGGGCUCUGUCACACACUCGCGGUGGUUGGACCGACGUCACGUCCGGCUCUCGAGUUCUUCUCUCUCUCAGGUUGACCUCGGAUCAGGUAGGGAUACCCGCUGAACUUAAGC